AGAUAAUAGAUACCCAGGUAGUCCACGCCCUAAACGAUGUCUACUAGUUGUUGGUGGAGUAAAAUCCAUGAGUAAACGCAGCUAACGCGUGAAGUAGACCGCCUGGGGGAGUACGGUCGCAAGAUUAAAAACUCAAGGAAUUGACGGGGGCCCGGCACAAGCGGUGGAUUAUGUGGAUUAAUUCGAUGCAACGCGAAAACCUUAACCUGGCCUUGACAUGCCACUAACGAAGCAGAGAUGCAUUAGGUGCCCGUAACGGGAAAGUGGACACAGGUGCUGCAUGGCUGUCGUCAGCUCGUGUCGUGAGAUGUUGGG
rnacentral:rRNA from 1 species